rnacentral:rRNA from 1 species
GAUGAACGCUGGCGGCGUGCCUAAUACAUGCAAGUCGAGCGAACAGACGAGGCGCUUGCUCCUCUGACGUUAGCGGCGGACGGGUGAGUAACACGUGGAUAACCUACCUCUAAGACUGGGAUAACUUCGGGGAACCGGAGCGAAUACCGGAUAAUAUAUUGAACCGCAUGGUUCAAUAGUGAAAGACGGUUUUGCUGUCACUUAUAGAUGGAUCCGCGCCGCAUUAGCUAGUUGGUAAGGUAACGGCUUACCAAGGCAACGAUGCGUAGCCGACCUGAGAGGGUGAUCGGCCACACUGGAACUGAGACACGGUCCAGACUCCUACGGGAGGCAGCAGUAGGGAAUCUUCCGCAAUGGGCGAAAGCUUGACGGAGCAACGCCGCGUGAGUGAUGAAGGUCUUCGGAUCGUAAAACUCUGUUAUUAGGGAAGAACAAAUGUGUAAGUAACUAUGCACGUCUUGACGGUACCUAAUCAGAAAGCCACGGCUAACUACGUG